AUUGAACGCUGGCGGCAGGCUUAACACAUGCAAGUCGAACGAGUGGCGUACGGGUGAGUACUGCUUGGGAAUCUGGCUUAUGGAGGGGGAUAACGACGGGAACCUGUCUCUAAUACCGCGUACCAUAGGAUGAGCCCAAGUGGGAUUAGGUAGUUGGUGGGGUAAUGGCCUACCAAGCCGACGAUCUCUAGCUGGUCUGAGAGGAUGACCAGCCACGCCGUGACUGAGACACGGCAAGGAGUACUACGGGAGGCAGCAGUGGGAAAUAUUGCGCAAUGGGGGCAACCUGACGCAGCCAUGCCGCGUGAAUGAGGAAGGCCUUCGGGUUGUAAAGUUCUUUCGGUGACGAGGCGUUAAUCACAGAAGAAGCACAGGCUAACUCCGUGCCAGCAGCCGCGGUAAUUC
rnacentral:rRNA from 1 species